GACGAACGCUGGCGGCGUGCCUAACACAUGCAAGUCAACUUGACUGAAGGAGCAAUCUGACAGUAGAGUGGCGCAAGGGUGCGUAACGCGUAAGUAACUUGCCCCAAGGUAAGGAAUAACGUCGAGAAAUCGGCGCUAAUACCUCAUAAUGCAGCGGAUCCGCAUGGAUAUGUUGUUAAAGGUUUACCGCCUUGGGAUAGGCUUGCGUCUGAUUAGUUAGUUGGUGUGGUAACGGCACACCAAGGCUACGAUCAGUAACUGGUCUGAGAGGAUGAUCAGCCACACUGGAACUGAGACACGGUCCAGACUCCUACGGGAGGCAGCAGUGAGGAAUAUUGGGCAAUGCUCGAAAGAGUGACCCAGCAACGCCGCGUGGAGGAUGAAGGUAUUCUAUAUCGUAAACUCCUGUGAGAGCAGACGAAAGACAGAUUAUUAAUCUGGAUGACUGUAUGCUCAGAGGAAGCCCCGGCUAACUACGU
rnacentral:rRNA from 1 species